CAAGGAUAUGAGGGCACAUCUUUACAUCCUUAGUGUUUAAUUGACAGACUCCGACUGCCCCCUAAAGGACUUGAGUGUCCAACGAUGCACGGCACUCCCAGCACAGUGCUCAGUUUGGACAUACACCAAGCCGUGCACACCAACACGCCUGACGAGACAGAAUGGUAUCAUCAGUGCUUUCGACGGCAUACAAAUAUAAGUUGGUAGCGAAGGAGACUUUUGAAGCCGGCCAUCUUCUUUCGGACGACCUUCUCGAACUCCUCGUUCUGCGCCACAGUGAACCAGUUCUUCCAGUCUCCUACAACUCCUGCAGAUAUUACACUGAAUAGUUUG